rnacentral:rRNA from 1 species
UACGUAGGGCGCAAGCGUUGUCCGGAAUUAUUGGGCGUAAAGAGCUCGUAGGCGGCUUGUCACGUCGGAUGUGAAAGCCCGAGGCUUAACCUCGGGUCUGCAUUCGAUACGGGCUAGCUAGAGUGUGGUAGGGGAGAUCGGAAUUCCUGGUGUAGCGGUGAAAUGCGCAGAUAUCAGGAGGAACACCGAUGGCGAAGGCAGUGAUCUGGGCCGGCACUGACGCUGAGGAGCGAAAGCGUGGGUAGCAAACAGG